CCCUUAGAUGUUCUGGGCAGCACGCGCGCUACAAUGGUCUUCGCAAACGGAUGCAUUCUCGAAGGAGAAUGCCAAUCUUGGAAUCUAUGCCUUGGUCGGGACAGUUGCUUGCAAUUUUUCGACUCGAACCAGGAAUUCCUUGUAAUCGUGAUUCAUCACAUCACGAUGAAUACGUCCCUGCCCUUUGUACACACCGCCCGUCGCUCCUACCGAUCGAAGAGUUAGGUGAAUUGUUUUGAUCGAUAAGAUUUGACUAUGGUCAAAUCUCGUUGUGAAAUUCUGUGAAUCUGACUGUUUAGAGGAAGGAAAAGUCGUAACA
rnacentral:rRNA from 1 species